rnacentral:lncRNA from 1 species
UUAGCUAGGACUGGACUGGCUAGGACUAAUAACCCAUGUUUGGUGCAAGCCGGGAUUGAGUUUAGUGGGAUUAAGUCGGACUCGUGCCGACUAAAUCCUUCGUUAGCUAGGCUUAGCGAGAGUCCCCGAAAAGGAGGGGAUUGCUAGUCCCGUUUCCCCGCUUCCCCUCACUUUGCCUCACCCCACGCCUGAGAACUUGCCCUCCCACUGUCUUUCUCCCUACCUCCCU